GAGCAAGGAUCUAAUAGUGGCUGGAACAAACCAGUCUCUUUUCUUCUCCACUCAACAAAUGAAUCCUUCACAUGUGGUGAGUUUAACCAAUUUUGAGAACCCGUAUAGUCGAUCUGCACGUCCACAAGUCAAAGAAAUGAUCCGUAAUUAGAUAAAUUUAAAGACCGUGGUUCUUCAACCCACUUAUCACUUGUUGAAGAAAUUUGUUUGGGUGCUUGGAGUAAGUUAUUGGCUUGGUAAUGCUCUAUUGGUUUCUAUUUUCUCAAAGUUUAUUGAUACUCAAAUCUUUAUUGGCUUAAUUGUUUGUGUAGUUUUUAGGGGGAUGUAUUGGAUUGAGAUUUUAAAAGACUAUUUUGGCAAAAGAAAAUCUUGAAGAUUUUGAAAGACUUUGUGAGAGAUGGUGAAUUCUUCGGUACACUUAUUAUGUGGAUGUGUACCGGUACACCGCUGAUGUGUUUAACAAGUGGCAGAUAUUUAAUGCAGAUUUUGUUUCUUUAUUAAAUUUUCUAUAUUAAACACUACUUUUUAAUAUUUGCAAAUAUAUCCUUAACAUAAAUAUAACAUUCAAUUUUAUUCCACAAUAUAAAUCAAAUCUUUCAAGCAAGAUUUUCACGUUUUUUAAAACAAUUUUUUUAACAAGAUUAAAAUAUUUUGAUAUUAUUAUAAUAUCCUAUCAAAUAAUAUGAUAUUAGUAUUUUAACAACAUAUGGUAUAAUUUACUUUUCAAAAAAAAAGUAAGAUUUUAACAACUUAUUAUUAUUAUUAUUAUUAGAUCCAACUAUGAUUUUAAUAUAUUUCAAUAUUCUUAACUGUCAAUUUUUGUUUUAAUGUUAUUGGUUAUUAAUACAUAUAAUUAUUAAAAUGCAUUUAUUUAUUUUUUUGCACAAAUUUUUUUUAUAAUUUUUAAUGUGUAUAUAUUUUAUUGUAAUACUAUUAAUAUUUAGUGAUUUGUAAUACUCUAUAUGGGCAUCAGAUUCGGAUUAGCAGGUAUAUAAUUGUUUUUAGUCUCUGCGAAAUUACUAAAUUUAAUUUUUCUUCUUCAUAAAUGAACAUCAUGUUUUUAUCCCUACAAAAUAUUUAUUCAUGCAAUUUUAGUCAUGUUGUUAAGUUGAUGUAUAGUUAUGAUGAUUUUGCAAAUUUAUAUAUAGAGUAUUAUAAAAAGUUUGUCCAAAAACAAGGAGCUCAAAAUUUGAUUUUUAGGUCAAAUUAAAUAUACUUUACUUUUAUUUUGAUAUUUUGAUUUAGAAAAUUCAUAUUUAAUUCAUCUCAUUUUGAAAAAUACUAAAGUUUUGUAAAUGAACUUUUUGUAUUAUUUCAAUUAGGUCAAGUUGAACUACUUACGCAAAUAAAUAAACUCUUAUGUAUUAUUCAUAAGCUUGUCAAAGUAUUUAUGAAAAAAUAACUUAUGAAGAUACAAUUUUUGUUAGGUGAAACUUAUAAAUUAAUAUAAAAGUUUACUUAUUUGUAUAAAAUAUUUGUUAUAAGCUAAAAAAUAAAAAGCAAAAUAAAAUUUGGUCCAUGAGGUAUUCUUAAGUAAUGGUUAGUUCAGUUAGUUGAAAUUUGACCAUUAUUUAUUUGUUAUUUUUUAUCUUGUUUCAAAAACAAACAAAAAAAAAGUUAUUUUUUAUGAGUAAAAAAUAAGUUAAUUUAAAUAGGCCCUAAAAGAUAGAAAUUUUCUAAAAAUUAGAAAUUUAUUAAAAAAUAAAAAGUAAUAUAAAAAUUGGCCCAUGAGUGAUUAGAAACCAUGUCCAUACAUUAACAAAGCAUACAUCUUACCAACAAGAAAAAUGAUCAUCUUGUUAAUCAAAUUUCUUUGUCUUUAUAUUAUAUUAAUGUUUUGUUUUAUAUUAUUUUUAAAAAAAAACUAAUAUUAAAACAGCGUCCUAACUAUAUUCCCUAAUGUCAUUUAUGUAUGCGCUAUUUUGUUUGAAGCUACUCACGAGCUAGACUUAUCAAGAUCCAAUUUGGUCUGACAUGCUUGAAAGGAUUAGGUACGUAGAUACUCCGUGUUGAUGGUAGUAGUUGCUGGUGUCUUUGGUCUUUCCUGUGCUCGUGGGGCUUGACCACAUUGACUGAUCAUCCCUCGAUCCGGCGUUCAAUUAGUUCUGGGUUACUUUAACAAUAUUUGAUUUGUCAGAGGUUGAUACAAAGUUUCCACUUUGUCCGGUCUAUCUCAAUAAUUGUAUCAUUUCAUGAUUUCAGACUGUUUAGUUUGAAAAAGUCAUCAUCACUUGUUGCUUGUUGUAGGGAGUUGUGGGUACGUGUGUCGUUNNNNNNNNNNNNNNNNNNNNNNNNNNNNNNNNNNNNNNNNNNNNNNNNNNGCCUUAAUAGAUACUAGGGACUUCUAUUUUGUCUUCUAGGAUUAGAUAAGAGUUUGUAUGCUUCAUUGUUCUACGUUUAUUUCCUUGGGGCAAGGCCUAGUCCCCAUUUGUAAUUAUCUUAUUUUUCUUCUUUUUAAAAAUAAAAUGAGCUAUAAGUGGAAGACAGAAAAUGAUAGGGGUGCCAACAUUGUUGGGAUAUCUAUUCCUACCUUGAUAUAUAUAAGUUUUUAGUUUAUAAAAAAAAAAAAAGAAGUUCUUAGUGAUUAUAAAUAUAAAAAAACACACGAGACAAAUAUUUAUCACUGAUACAUAAAAAAAUUGAAUAAAUAUUUAUCAUUAAUAUUUAUAAUUUAUAAACAAAAUCAAACAUGAGACAUAUAAUUAUCAAAAAUCAAUAAGUUAAAAUAAAUUUAUUAACAUAUUAAAAUCAUAGUAAUUAAAAAUCAAAAAGUUCAUACGAAUGCACGAGUUUUUAAACAAGUUAAAAUAUUAAAAUCAUAUUUUUUUUAUAGAUUAUUAAAACCUUAGUUAGAUCCAAUAAUAAUAAUACUUAACAAAAAAAAAUCAUACGUUAUUUUUUUUUUAAGAAAAUACCAUAUGUUUUUAAAAUACUAAAAUCAUAUUAUAAUAUUAUUAUAAUAUUACAUUAUUUGAAUCUUGUUAAAAAAAUAGUUGAAAAAUCUAGGUUGAAAGAUUUGAUGCAUACUUUGAUUUAUUGUGGAAGAUGAUUGAUGAUUAUAUUUAUGUGAAGGAUACAUUUGUAAAUAUUAAAAAGUAGUGUUUAAUAUAUAAAUUUUGUGUAAAAAAAAAAUAUAUAGAAAAUCUAAUAAAGAAAUAAAAUCUACAAUAAAUGAUUGCCAUUUGUUAACCACCUCAGCGGUGUACCGGUACACAUCCACGUAAUAUGUGUACUGAAGUGUUCACCUUGUGAGAUUAUAUUGAUUUUGUAAGAUUUUAAAUGAUUUUUUUGAAAGAAUUUUUACAUUCAAGAUUCUUAACACAAGACUCUGUGAGAUUUUAUAACAUAGACUUUUGAGAUUUCAAAGAACUUUAUGGAAUUUUAACAUUUAAAUGACUCAAUAAAUUCAAUACAAAUUUCUUCCAAAAAUAUAAUAAUCAAUCAAUCAUUCCUUAAAAAACAUCAAGGAGUAAAUAUAAACAAAUAAAAUCAAUGAAUCAAUUUUUUUUUUUAAAUAAUCAUAAAAAAGAACAAGAGAAUGGUUGCAGAAUUAUAUAUAUAUAUAUAUUUCUUGGUUACAAAAUUAUGUUAAAGGUUGUAGAAUUAUAUAUAUAUUUCUCGGUUACAAAAUUAUGUUAAAGAUCAAUUUUAUAAGGUAGCAGAAAAUCGUUUUCAAUAAAAAAAAAAUCAGAAAAUCGUUUUGAACAAUUGAGUUUCAAAGGAAUAGAAAUAUUAUGUACGUCCCUUCCAUGACAACCUUCAGGUGGAGAAAAAGAAUGGUUGAGUACUUGAGUUGCAUAUGUUAGGAAAUUGUGGUGGUGGAGAAAAAGAAUGUGGAGUGAGAGAGAACGAUCAAGAAACACACAUGAAAAAAAGUCUGGAGUGAGUUUGAAAAAGUCUUGAUGUUUUACGUGAGAUUGUUGAAAGAAAAAUGUAUGUGUAUUUUCAACUAAAAAGUCUCACACAAUCCAUUAAAAUCCAUUCAAAGAAAGAAUUCAUUCAAAUCUAUAUAUUUUUGAAUACCACAAGACAUUUUAUAAAUCAUGAGAAAUCUUAAUUGAAUACCAACAGAUUUUGUUGGAUUGAAAAAAAAAUCUUGAUUGUCUUAAUAUUGAAUACCACAAAAUUUGUUUACAUUUUAUAAAAGUCUUGAUUGAAUACCUCAAGAUAUUUUUAUUAUAAAAAAGUCUUUCAAAAUCCCUUGAAAUCUCAAUUCAAUACACCCCCUUAGAAUGUGGUUGAGGAUUGUCCUAACACAUUGUUUCUCUUUAUGUCUGUACUUCAUUUGUUUUAUCUAAUGCAAAAUGAUAUUU
rnacentral:lncRNA from 1 species